rnacentral:lncRNA from 1 species
AGCCACCAACAAGGCACCCUCUGCAACACAGGCAGGCCUUGUGGUGUAUUUUCCUACUGUACAUCUUGUCUGUGGGUCCUGUGAUCCUCCUCCUCUCAGUAACUGAGCUGCUGCAUACCCACUGAUGUCAGGAUCCCUCUUCUGAUAGGCAGAAGCCUAUUUCUUCCUCAGAUUGCAUCAGCCAAGUGCUUCGAAGCCAGGGGUUUUCCCUCAAAAUCUCAAAUCCUGUUCCAGCUAAAUGUAGCCACCAGCCUCUUUCUUAGCUGUUGCCUCUUCUUCCAAAAAGUUUUGGUUGGAGGGAGGAGGUGGGAGAGGUGAAAGUGAACUCUCCAUUAGGCUAUUAAAUUUCUGUAUUCUGACUAGCCUGUUUGUAGGUGUGGUCUUGGGUCUUUACCAAAGCACAGAAAUUUUGCUGAUUUGGUGCUUGCUGGGACAUAAUACAUGCUGCUUUGGAAGGACAGACUUCUGUGCAAGGAAAACAAUGAGAGUCUUGCAUUGGAAAUUCAAGAUACACCGAUCAAGUUGCCAGGCCUGCGCCUCAUUGGCCACCAGCUGAAGUGACCGUGUGCUCUGGUUGGAUUUGGUAGAUGGGAUCUACCUGCAGCAGACUGCCCUCAUGCCAAACCUGUCUGGAUGGUCCAUGGUUGGUGAAAACAGAGACUUGGAGACUUUGCAUCACAAGGCGUGGAGUGCACUGACUGUUGCCAUGAAGUCUGGUUAUUCUGAAGACUUAAAGCCAUAUAUAUGAAGCAAGUUAGUACUAAAUUGACUACUGUACCUUUCAUUAGAUCUAUUAUCUACCUAGAGGCUAUUUUCACUUUCAAGUGGCAUUUGCUCCAUAAUAAGUAAUGUCUCAAAAUGCUGUUAAUUAAAGUUUCAUCUGUUUAGAGGAAUUUCUUCUUCUUCCCCCUUUCCUCUUUUCUUUUCAGAAGGUAGUAAUUAUUCCAAGAGUGUGGAGACAUUGUUACUGUAGCUCAUUAAAUAUGGCAAUGCUCACUUGGACCUUUGAGUGCUGGUGAUGUCAAGUUGACCUGAAAUGCAAGGAUUCCAUCUGUCAGGAAUUACUGAUGAAUUGGCAAUUAAAUAUAAAUAAAUAUAUAUAUAUAUAUAUUUAACUCA